rnacentral:lncRNA from 1 species
UGGGGGGCGUGUGGGGUGGGGUCCCACCAUCAUCCCAAAUCAUCCUGGAGACCCAAGGGGUUGGGGGUAUAAAGGGUUGGGGGGUAAAGGUUGAGGGACAUGUAGGGUUGGGGGUCUACCAAGACCCCAAGUCAUCUUGGGGACCCAGUGGUUGAAGGACAUGAAGGGUUGGGGGUCUACCACCACCCCAAAUCAUCCUGGGGACCCAAAUGUUGAGGGACACGAGGGGUUGGGGGUAUGAAGGGGUAGGGGUGAAGGUUGAGGGACACGUGGGUUUGGGGUUCUACCAAGACCCCAAGUCAGCCUGGGGGCUCAGGGGUUGGGGGUGGAAAGGGGUGGGGGCGAAAAGUUGAGGGACACGUGGGUUGGGGUCCCACCAUCAUCCCAAAUCAUCCCGGGGACCCAAGGGGUUGGGGGUGGGAAGGGUUGGGGGGUAAAGGUUGAGGGACACGUGGGUUGGGGUCCCACCGUCAUCCCAAAUCAUCCUGGAGACCCAAGGGAAUGGGCCCAGUUCAUACUGGGAAGGGUCUGGGGAUCCCAGUUCAUCCUGGGGAGGGGCUGGGGGUCCCAGUUUGUACUGGGAAGGGGCCCAGUUUGUAGUGGGAAGGGGCCCAGUUUGUACUGGGAAGGGUCCCAGUUUGUACUGGGAAUGGGCAGGGGAUCCCAUGCAUGGCCACCCCGUUCAGCUUGUGCAGGGCCGUGUGCUGCCGCUUGUACUGGGGUGGGGACAGGGGGUGUGGGGUGGGGUCCCACCAUCAUCCCAAAUCAUCCCGGGGACCCAAGGGGUUGGGGGUGGGAAGGGUUGGGGGGUAAAGGUUGAGGGACACGUGGGUUGGGGGUCUACCAAGACCCCAAGUCAUCUUGGGGACCCAGUGGUUGAAGGACAUGAAGGGUUGGGGGUCUACCACCACCCCAAAUCAUCCUGGGGACCCAAGGGGUUGGGGACAUGAAGGGUUGGGGACAUGAAGGGUUGGGAACCCAAAGGUUGAGGGAGACGUGGGGUGGGGGUCUACCAAGACCCUAAGUCAAUCCGGGGACACAAGGGGUUGGGGGUGGGAAGGGGCGGGGGUGAAGGGUGAGGGACAUGUAGGGUUGGGGGGCUACCAAGACCCCAAAUGAUCCUGGGGACCCAAGGGUUGAGGGACAUGAAGGGUUGGGGGCCAAAAGUUGAGGGACACGUGGGAUGGGGUCCCAC